AUGUGUGCGCAGUGCUUAACACAUGCAGUCGGAGCGAAAGGGGGCAACCCCCGGUAGCGUGGCAGACGGGUGAGUAACACGUGGGUAACCUGCCCGGAGGUGUGGAAUAACCCUUCGAAAGGAGGGCUAAUACCGCAUGACAUCCCGAGGUAUUCGGACCUCGGGAUCAAAGCUGGCCUCUGCUUGCAAGCUAGCGCCACCGGAGGGGCCCGCGCCCCAUUAGCUAGUUGGUGAGGUAACGGCCCACCAAGGCGACGAUGGGUAGCCGGCCUGAGAGGGCGACCGGCCACACUGGAACUGAGACACGGUCCAGACUCCUACGGGAGGCAGCAGUGAGGAAUAUUGCGCAAUGGGCGAAAGCCUGACGCAGCGACGCCGCGUGGAGGAUGAAGGUCUUCGGAUUGUAAACUCCUGUCUAGUGGGACGAAAGCCGUGGGGGCAAACAACCCUCGCGGUUGACGGUACCGCUGGAGGAAGCCCCGGCUAACUCCGUGCCAGCAGCCGCGGUAAUACGGAGGGGGCCAGCGUUGUUCGGAAUCAUUGGGCGUAAAGGGCGCGUAGGCGGCUACUCAAGUCGGACGUGAAAUCCCCCGGCUCAACCGGGGAACUGCGUCCGAUACUGUGUGGCUCGAGUCCCGGAGAGGGUAGUGGAAUUCCCAGUGUAGCGGUGAAAUGCGUAGAUACUGGGAGGAACACCGGUGGCGAAGGCGGCUACCUGGACCGGUACUGACGCUGAGGCGCGAAAGCAAGGGGAGCAAACAGGAUUAGAUACCCUGGUAGUCCUGGCUGUAAAACGAUGGGCACUAGGUGUAGGGAAGGUUUUUAACCCCUCCUGUGCCCGCAGCUAACGCAUUAAAGUGCCCCGCCCUGGGGGAGUACGGCCCGCAAGGUUAA
rnacentral:rRNA from 1 species